rnacentral:tRNA from 2 species
CAUUCGAUAGCUCAGUUGGUAGAGCGGGGGACUGUAGAUUUAUAAUUGUGAUCCCUAGGUCGCUGGUUCGAAUCCGGCUCGAAGUA